rnacentral:rRNA from 2 species
GGGUUGUGAGGUUAAGCGACUAAGCGUACACGGUGGAUGCCCUGGCAGUCAGAGGCGAUGAAGGACGUGCUAAUCUGCGAAAAGCGUCGGUAAGGUGAUAUGAACCGUUACAGCCGGCGAUGUCCGAAUGGGGAAACCCAGUGCAAUUCGUUGCACUAUCGUUAACUGAAUACAUAGGUUAACGAGGCGAACCGGGGGAACUGAAACAUCUAAGUACCCCGAGGAAAAGAAAUCAACCGAGAUUCCCCCAGUAGCGGCGAGCGAACGGGGAGCAGCCCAGAGUCUGAAUCAGCUUGUGUGUUAGUGGAACGGUCUGGAAAGUCCGACGGUACAGGGUGAUAGUCCCGUACACCAAAAUGCACAGGCUGUGAACUCGAAGAGUAGGGCGGGACACGUGGUAUCCUGUCUGAAUAUGGGGGGACCAUCCUCCAAGGCUAAAUACUCCUGACUGACCGAUAGUGAACCAGUACCGUGAGGGAAAGGCGAAAAGAACCCCGGCGAGGGGAGUGAAAAAGAACCUGAAACCGUGUACGUACAAGCAGUGGGAGCACCUUCGGGUGUGACUGCGUACCUUUUGUAUAAUGGGUCAGCGACUUAUAUUCUGUAGCAAGGUUAACCGUAUAGGGGAGCCGCAGGGAAACCGAGUCUUAACUGGGCGUUAAGUUGCAGGGUAUAGACCCGAAACCCGGUGAUCUAGCCAUGGGCAGGUUGAAGGUUGGGUAACACUAACUGGAGGACCGAACCGACUAAUGUUGAAAAAUUAGCGGAUGACUUGUGGCUGGGGGUGAAAGGCCAAUCAAACCGGGAGAUAGCUGGUUCUCCCCGAAAGCUAUUUAGGUAGCGCCUCGUGAACUCAUCUUCGGGGGUAGAGCACUGUUUCGGCUAGGGGGUCAUCCCGACUUACCAACCCGAUGCAAACUACGAAUACCGAAGAAUGUUAUCACGGGAGACACACGGCGGGUGCUAACGUCCGUCGUGAAGAGGGAAACAACCCAGACCGCCAGCUAAGGUCCCAAAGUCAUGGUUAAGUGGGAAACGAUGUGGGAAGGCACAGACAGCCAGGAUGUUGGCUUAGAAGCAGCCAUCAUUUAAAGAAAGCGUAAUAGCUCACUGGUCGAGUCGGCCUGCGCGGAAGAUGUAACGGGGCUAAACCAUGCACCGAAGCUGCGGCAGCGACACUAUGUGUUGUUGGGUAGGGGAGCGUUCUGUAAGCCUGCGAAGGUGUGCUGUGAGGCAUGCUGGAGGUAUCAGAAGUGCGAAUGCUGACAUAAGUAACGAUAAAGCGGGUGAAAAGCCCGCUCGCCGGAAGACCAAGGGUUCCUGUCCAACGUUAAUCGGGGCAGGGUGAGUCGACCCCUAAGGCGAGGCCGAAAGGCGUAGUCGAUGGGAAACAGGUUAAUAUUCCUGUACUUGGUGUUACUGCGAAGGGGGGACGGAGAAGGCUAUGUUAGCCGGGCGACGGUUGUCCCGGUUUAAGCAUGUAGGCUGGUUGUCCAGGCAAAUCCGGAUAAUCAAGGCUGAGGUGUGAUGACGAGGCACUACGGUGCUGAAGUAACAAAUGCCCUGCUUCCAGGAAAAGCCUCUAAGCAUCAGGUAACAUUAAAUCGUACCCCAAACCGACACAGGUGGUCAGGUAGAGAAUACCAAGGCGCUUGAGAGAACUCGGGUGAAGGAACUAGGCAAAAUGGUGCCGUAACUUCGGGAGAAGGCACGCUGGUGUGUAGGUGAAGUCCCUGCGGAUGGAGCUGAGACCAGUCGAAGAUACCAGCUGGCUGCAACUGUUUAUUAAAAACACAGCACUGUGCAAACACGAAAGUGGACGUAUACGGUGUGACGCCUGCCCGGUGCCGGAAGGUUAAUUGAUGGGGUUAUCCGUAAGGAGAAGCUCUUGAUCGAAGCCCCGGUAAACGGCGGCCGUAACUAUAACGGUCCUAAGGUAGCGAAAUUCCUUGUCGGGUAAGUUCCGACCUGCACGAAUGGCGUAAUGAUGGCCAGGCUGUCUCCACCCGAGACUCAGUGAAAUUGAACUCGCUGUGAAGAUGCAGUGUACCCGCGGCAAGACGGAAAGACCCCGUGAACCUUUACUAUAGCUUGACACUGAACAUUGAGCCUUGAUGUGUAGGAUAGGUGGGAGGCUUUGAAGCGUGGACGCCAGUCUGCGUGGAGCCAACCUUGAAAUACCACCCUUUAAUGUUUGAUGUUCUAACGUUGGCCCCUUACCGGGGUUGCGGACAGUGUCUGGUGGGUAGUUUGACUGGGGCGGUCUCCUCCCAAAGCGUAACGGAGGAGCACGAAGGUUAGCUAAUCCUGGUCGGACAUCAGGAGGUUAGUGCAAUGGCAUAAGCUAGCUUGACUGCGAGCGUGACGGCGCGAGCAGGUGCGAAAGCAGGUCAUAGUGAUCCGGUGGUUCUGAAUGGAAGGGCCAUCGCUCAACGGAUAAAAGGUACUCCGGGGAUAACAGGCUGAUACCGCCCAAGAGUUCAUAUCGACGGCGGUGUUUGGCACCUCGAUGUCGGCUCAUCACAUCCUGGGGCUGAAGUAGGUCCCAAGGGUAUGGCUGUUCGCCAUUUAAAGUGGUACGCGAGCUGGGUUUAGAACGUCGUGAGACAGUUCGGUCCCUAUCUGCCGUGGGCGCUGGAGAAUUGAGGGGGGCUGCUCCUAGUACGAGAGGACCGGAGUGGACGCAUCACUGGUGUUCGGGUUGUCAUGCCAAUGGCACUGCCCGGUAGCUAAAUGCGGAAGAGAUAAGUGCUGAAAGCAUCUAAGCACGAAACUUGCCCCGAGAUGAGUUCUCCCUGAGACUUUAAGUCUCCUGAAGGAACGUUGAAGACGACGACGUUGAUAGGCCGGGUGUGUAAGCGCAGCGAUGCGUUGAGCUAACCGGUACUAAUGAACCGUGAGGCUUAACCUUACAACGCCGAAG